CAGGCUGAAGUGUGACAAAUGAAAAAUAACCUAAAAAUUCAACUGCAAUGUGCAUGAAAGACCAUAGGAAAAUAAAGAAAAGAACAAACAAGAAAAACAACAGCAAGUCACUCUAAGUACUGUGGAACAAAUUGAAAGUGGGGAUUUUCCUACACUCCUUCCUGCAUGCCGAGGUUGACGUUUUGUUGUGUGACUACCUGGAUAAGACUGGAAAGAUCAAGGCUGCAGUGAAUCAGGAUUGCAUCCCUCUGCUGGAGCUGAAUGGGACUGCUGCUGACAAGACAGCAAAACGUGAGCCAUCUGGAGGACCUUAGACAUGGCAAGGAUAAAUAAGGAGGAGUGAAAAAGGUAGAGUACAAUAAAUAUCACAAUGAAGAUUUUCUCCUCUCUCUUUCUCUCCAUUUGUGACACCCAGGCUGGAGUGUGACAAAAAAAAAAAAAGAAAGAAAGAAAAGAAAAUAGGUUAACUUCAGCUUACAGGAAGAAGUGUAGGAAAAUAGAGAAAAGAACAAAGAAGAAAAACAAUAGCAAGUCACUAUAAGUACUGUGGAAAUAAACUGAAAGUGGGUUGAGAAAAAAACAAACAAACAAACAAAAACAGAAAAAGAAGUUCUGAGUAGUCCCGGGUACUUGGGAGGCUGAGAUGAGAAGAACACGCAGGUGUGACCAGGGAGAUUGAGGCUGCAGUGAAUCACGAUCACAUCCUUCUGCUGGAACUGAACAGUACUGCUACCAGUGAGAGCCAUGUGGUGAAUCUUCGACAUGGCUAGAGUGUGAUAAAAAAAUAUUUAAAAGGUCAACUUCACUGAGGAGGAAGGAGCAUAGGAAAACACAGAAAAGAGCAAAGAAGAAAAACAACAGCAGGUCACUGCUACAGUGUGAUAAAAAAAUCUAAAAGUCAACCUCAGUGUGCAGGAAGGAGUGUAGGAAAAUACUGAGAGAAAAGAACAAAGAAGAAAAACAACAGCAAAUCACUCUAUGUACUGUGGAAAGAAACUGAAAAUGGGGUUGGAAAAAACAGAGGAAGAAGGUCCGAGUAGUCCCAGGUAUUCAAGGGGCCGAG
rnacentral:lncRNA from 1 species